rnacentral:tRNA from 1 species
GCCUUGGUAGUGCAGUGGAUCAGCACGGCAGACCGGAUAUCUGUAAGUGCGGGUUCGAAUCCUGCCUGAGGUU